rnacentral:lncRNA from 1 species
GCAUUUUGUAGGCAAGGAACAAAAUCUUGAUAGUGAUGGCCAUCUGAGAAAGAUAUCAACAAUUCUUUAAUACUGGUUUCAUCUUGGAAUAAAUGACAGAAAUUAAUACCAAAAAAUGAAAUUAAAAAUAAAAUCUUCAGGAAUUGCUGAUAGAUAUGAUAAAAACAUAACACACACACAAACACAAGAUGUUUUGGUUCAGGAGAUACAAGCAUGGUAUACGAUAUGGAAAUCUUAUUUUGAUCCACUAUUAUCUUGGAUAAGAGAACAAGAUAAAUUAUCAUUGCCACAUCUAUAUCCCUUGGUUGUGGGAUAUGAAAAACAUAUUAUAUAAGGAAGAUGGGAUUUUCAUAUCCCACAAACGAAAACAUAGAGAUUUGUGACAGAACUUUUUGAUGUACUUAAGGUCUUGUUUGGAAUCCUGAUAUCAAUAUAUUAGUUUUGCUUCCACAAGGAGUCCAUCUUUAUUGAAUCUUUUCAUUAUCUAAUUGCUUUACCUGCUUUACCAAAGUGUGAGGAGCCAAUUUUGUACACUUCAUUCUUGAAACUAUUCUGUCCUCUGAAAUAUGCAAGAAGCCCAUCUUGUUUAGUCAUCCGAUUCUUUAAGUUACACCACUCUCUCAAUUUGACAGUAAGGAGUUCAUCUCUUCUCUCUAAUUAACAUCACCACAGCUUCUUGAUAAAGACUUUGACUAGCUUCCUAAUCAAAAUCCACAUGGAUGAAUGUCUCCUUUCUCAUUGUCAUCAUAUUAUUUAGAUGUUUAGUUCAAGUGUAAUCAUCAAAUGCUGAGAUUUCACUCUCUUGACCACUGAAGGAAACUAUCAAAUUCAAACCUUACUCGAACCAUUAACCAGACACUAGAAUCAGCUAUUAAACUCUUUGCAUGUCCAGAUAUAUAUAUAUAUAUAUAUAUAUAUAUAUAUAUAUAUAUAUAUAUAUAUAAUAUCCUGUAAAUAUGUAUAUCUAUCAGACUGAAUAAUCUAUAAACCAAACUUGGCCAUUGAAGUUUGUAUCAUAAGGUUUACAAGUUCAUGGAUGAAAACCCAAAAUUGCAGAAAGAAAUAUUUACUUACAAGGAAACUAAAAGGGAUUUUGUAAAUAUGAAAAGAGUGUCAGACAACAAGACUGUAGAAAGUUGCAGAUAAAAAGGGCUGCCACAAGGUGCUAAAGAAGGCUGCAUUUGGAAGCCAACAAUGCUGUUGUACUGAGAUCUUUGAGUUCAUGGCAAUAUUUCUGAGACCAGCAAUGUCAGGGGAAAGAAAAAGGUGAUGAAAAGGAAUACCAAGAUCUUGGUAGUUCUCUAUUAGAAAAGGCAUGCUUGAGACUGAGUUUUCUUACCACUUACCAAGAUAUGAGAUCUCUCCAUUCCGAAUGAGAUUUUGGUCCAUGGUUAUAUGGUUGACAGUGUUUUGGGUUGCGACCUCUUUAAAGGAAAAAGUUUAGAAGCUGUUAGGUUUUUAUGGUACACUUCUUGGGUUUUACCCAGCAUGUACAUGAGUUUUGCGACUUCUUCCCUGAUUUCUUUGUACGCAUUCUUUUUUAUCCUAAAGAGAAAAAGGAAUGGUUUACUAUUUUGCUGCAUAUGUGAUAAGUUUGCUGAAAUAUUUGUCUUCAAUGCAGGCAAGCAAGCUAUUUGACACUGUAUUUAGAUAGUCUGAUGUUUUCUGUAACUAGGUAGGUCAGAAUUAGCCACUUUGUGAUGAUGUAGAUUGGUGCAUGGAGUUAGAAUUUCUUCUUAGUAAAGUUCUUGUCCUUCUCUGUUCAAAGUUUCAAGUCAUUCUGAUUCCUCUCUUUAGUCUUAUUCAUUACCACAAUUGGACCAUGAGGGGAGGAGAUGCAUGGAUAUACCUCAUCCAUGCAUAUAUUGCCUACAUUACCUCAAUAAUGUAGGACAAUCUUGAGGUGAUUACCUACAACCAAACAAAAUGGGAUAGGAUUUCGUUUAGAAUUCAAGGAGAGGAACCUUGAUUAAAGAUUGUGGCAGCAAGGAAAGAUAAAAUAAAAAGCAGAAAAAAGAAGAAAAUAAAUGGAGAAAAGAAAAAGGGAAAUCUUUGGUGGAAGGAAAAUGUAGGAACACCAAUUUGGAGCUUUUAGAAUUUUCUGAAUAAAGUACAAAAGGUCUUCAGAAAGAGUUGAAAACACGAAGGUGAAUAGAUUACUUAACACAUUUCAUGGACCACAAUAUAAAAGAAAUAUGAAUAUUACAACUUUCUUUUUUUGUUUUUUGCAAACUGUGCUAGGUUUAC